CCUACGGGAGGCAGCAGUGGGGAAUAUUGCACAAUGGGGGAAACCCUGAUGCAGCGACGCCGCGUGAGUGAAGAAGUAUUUCGGUAUGUAAAGCUCUAUCAGCAGGGAAGAAAAUGACGGUACCUGAUUAAGAAGCCCCGGCUAACUACGUGCCAGCAGCCGCGGUAAUACGUAGGGGGCAAGCGUUAUCCGGAUUUACUGGGUGUAAAGGGAGCGUAGACGGUGAUGCAAGUCAGAAGUGAAAGCCCGGGGCUCAACUCCGGGACUGCUUUUGAAACUGUGUGACUGGAGUGCAGGAGAGGUAAGCGGAAUUCCUGGUGUAGCGGUGAAAUGCGUAGAUAUCAGGAGGAACACCAGUGGCGAAGGCGGCUUACUGGACUGUAACUGACGUUGAGGCUCGAAAGCGUGGGGAGCAAACAGGAUUAGAUACCCCAGUAGUC
rnacentral:rRNA from 1 species